GCGAUGGGGCUGCGAGCGGGCGGAGCGUCGGGCAGGGCUGCGGGGGACCGGGGGGCGCCCGAGGGGCCCGCGCCGGGCGGCAGCAUCCACUCGGGCUGCAUCGCCGCGGUGCACAACGUGCCUCUGAGCGUGCUCAUCCGGCCGCUGCCGUCCGUGCUGGACCCGGCCAAGAGGAGGAAACUGAGGCACAAGAGGAUUUAAGUAACUUGUCCAAAGUCAGACACUUAGAAAGGGGCACAGCCUGGCCCCAGAGCCCAGCUGCACGGCCACCACACUAUCCAGAGAUAAGCUGUGAUGUCACUUCUGAAUGGGACAGUCAGUGGCAGUGGGACUGGGCAUGUCCUGUGUGCUGGGAGGGCCCUGUUUGAACUGGAACUGGGAGAGGACGGGUGAGCCCCAUCACGAGGGUGGGUGUUCAGGAAUGUCGUUGUGAUCCUGGCGGGAACUUUGGGGGAGCGGGGAAGCUGUGUCAGGGGAGGCCUCCAUGGCAUCGUGCCCCCUUCCCCUACACCCUUGGAAGGUGACCAUGUGAGACCCAGAGGCCCCACCAAACCCCUCUACAGGGCCCCCAGGUGUCUUUCUGUCCUGGGAUUUGUGCCACAGGGCCUGCUCCCUCACUGGGUCAGGGCUCCGCCUCCCUGCCCGCCCUUGCUCACGGAGCCCUGGCCCCUCUCGCUGUGCCCUUGACCUGAGCUAUUUCCACCUGAGUCAUUUGUUUGUUCGUGUUUUAUUGUCUGUCUUCCCACCUCAUGUGAGCUCCACAAGAGCCGGGACUUGGCUGUAUCUUGGCUGUUUCCUCAAUGCCAGCCUGGGGCCUGGCUUUUUGUGGAGGAUCUAGCCCUGCGUCCCCUCUCCCACCCCUGGGCCUUUGCACAGGCCUUUUCCCUUGCCAAGAAAACUCUCCCAUCUCUUCUUUACUGUUUCUAACUCCUUCUUGUAGCAUUGUCUUCCCUGGUGGCCUGGAUUAGGGCCACCUGCAUGCCCACCAGCAUAGCUCUGCUCCUGCUGGGUUUUUUUGUUUGUUUUUGCUGAGGAAGAUUCACCGGGAGCUAACAUCUGUGCCAGUCUUCCUCUCCUUUGUAUGUGGGUCACCGCCACAGCAUGGCUGAUGAGGGGUGUCGGUCCACACCCGGGAUCCAAACCUGCAAACCCAGGCCCCUGAAGCAGAGGGCACUGAACUGAGCCACUAGGCCACCGGGCGGGCCCCUCCCUCCGGAUUUUAAUGGCCCCCUCCGAUGCCUGUCUCCCAUGCUAGAACCAUCUGCUGUGAGGGCAAGACCCAGGGCUCUUCUUUGCUUACCUUGUGUAUUAGUUUUCUGUGUCCACUAACAAGUUACCAGAAGCUUAGUGCCUUAAGACGACACAAAUUUAUCAUCAUACGGUUCCACACUUCGCAAGUCCAAAAUGGGUCUCCCAAGGUGUCAGCAGGGCUGCAUGCUUCUCUGCAGGCCCUGGAGGAGAAGCCAUGUCCUUGCCUUUCUGGCUUCUAGAGGCCAACCCAUUUCCUUGGCUCGUGGCCUCUCUCCUCCAUCUUCAAGGCCAGCAACCUCAGACCUCCUGUUCUGCUUCUCUUCUGCUUUUAAGGACCCUGGUGAUUACCUUAGACCCAGCCGGAUAACCCAGGAUAAUCUCCCCACCUCAAGAUGCUUAAGUUAAUUCCAUCUGCAAAGUCCCGUGUGCUCCAGGCAUUAGAGUGUGGCCAGCUUUGGGGGCUGUUGCUCUGCCCACCUGCCAUCAUGUCCCCAGCGCCCAGCACAAGGCCUGCCCUGCGCAGCUGCCCCUCUGUAGUGCUCCCUUCCCGGCAUGCUGUGGUCCGUGACUCACCUGCAUUGGCUCCUUGACUCCUCCUCAGCAGCCCCAUAGAGCAUCUGUUCCCAUUUCACAGGUGAGGAACAGUGCUCAGAGAGGCGAGGCCACUUGCUCAGGGUCCCCCAGCUGCUCUGUGGAGGAGCUGAGAUUCAAAUUCAGGUUUGCCGGAUUCCAGAGCCCCAGCCCCUAACUGCUGGGCCUUACUGCUUCAUAAUCUUUUCUGGAAUGAAUGGACAAAUGAAUCCAUCCAAACAGCACAAUAGGAGA
ensembl:lncRNA